GUGCGCGCGAAUGCUUUAAUCCCAUGACUCUGAAGGUUGCUGCAGUCAGUUUCUCAUAUACUAGAAACAUAAGAGCAGCAGUAAGGACUGUCUGCAGGAGCUUUGCUUCAAGGCCUUUGUAGAGUCCCAUUAAUCCAAAACGCCUCACUCUCUCUCGAAGAAGGUAGAGAACAUUUUUAAGACUGCCCAGUGUUCGGUUUUCUGGGUUCAAUCUGUGGCGUCC
rnacentral:lncRNA from 1 species